rnacentral:lncRNA from 1 species
GCUUCCUUCACCGUUUGUCCCAUCCAUAUUAUCUUGGCCGCUAUCUGAAAAUGUGCAUCGAUGAGACAUCUCCAAGAGGUACUGGUCCUGUAAAUGAAACGUCGCAGUUAUGCUCUGUGUAAAAAAUAAAUAUUGACAUAGGAUCAACAUCGAUUGAAGAAGAAUACUAAUCUCUAAGUGAUAAGGCAAAUACAACAGAGUUACAUCAAGUGCACUUCAUUUAAUCUACAAUUUAAGUUAAAAUGCUCUUCAGACAAUGAUCUAUUUGGUCCUCCCAAAUGAAAGACAAGUGGGAGAGUCCACAUGUUACCCAGGGGAAGUUUACACCCAAACACGUGUCGGAAAGAUGCAAUACUGUUGAACGAAGGGCAAAUAAAAUAUGUAAAAUUGGUGAAAUGAAAAUUGGCGGCAAGCUGCGAGCAGAUGGACUCACUUGUCGACUAUAAGCCUUGCAAAGAAUCCUCUCGUUUUUCGAUGGGGCGAAUAGGAGCGCAAAAGCCGAACGGUUCCGACCUCGUCCGAUUCG